AAAGCCUGCGAGAGGGAGCGCUGCUGGGGAAGGGAGCGAUGGGGCGCAUGGGAGCUGCUCUGCCAGGGGCACUGGAUCCCAGGGGACCGAUCUCUGUGGGGAUGGGGAAAACCUUGGAGAGGUGGGGAGAAGGAGUGGAGAGAAAUGCCGGGAGUGUGGCUAAAAAACAGGAGAUGUGAGGUUUGAGGUGUGGCAGGAACCUGCAGAGAGGACAGUGGGGGUAGUGAGGACAGUGAUCAAGGUGAUGGAGAGACAAACGGACAGGCUGACAGGCAACUAAUCUGAAAGCCCUUUCUGGCUUCCCAGGUGGUGCCCAAAAGGACUCUGUGCUCCAGUUCCCAGCAGAGAUGACCAUCCAGGCAGGACACAGCGCAACUCUGCUCUGCAAUUUCUCCACAAGUGAUUUUGCUUCCUACAUCUUUUGAGUCCUUGCUGACAGCUCUGCUCCCUCAGGAGGUACGUGGGGGUUUCUCAGACUCUCUCAGCCCUGCAGGAUGAGUGGUCACAGCAGGCGCCUCACAUAUCUCCUCCUCACUGCCUUCCUGAGGCAGCCACUGGGCACCCUGGGGCAGAUCACCGUCACCCAGCAAGAAGGACCAGUCACAGUGAAGCAGGGAGACACCUUUCGAACAAACUGCUCUUACCAGACCUCCAGCUUUUAUGCCUUCUUCUGGUACCAGCAGAGGAAAGGCCAGGCUCUCCAGCUGGUCUCCUAUCAGGCAGGAACUGGCUCCAAGCGGAACGGCCGUUUCACCACAUCCCUGAACCCCACAGAGAAAUCCAGCCUCCUGCAGCUGGAGGAAGUCGAAGGCUCUGACAGCGCCGUGUACCUCUGUGCUGUGCAGGACACGCUGGUGCAGGAGCUGCCUGGGCUGGGCAAAAACCUGGGGCAGGGAGGGGCUGGGGCUGGCAAGGCUGAGCCUGGAGGAAGGCUUUAUUCUGCGCUGCUUCUGCCCAAAGGCUUUGCAGAGGUGGCUUUUGGUUUCCACCAGGCAGCAGCCAGAGCAAUGGGCAACUUUUCCCUGCUGCUCCAUGCUGGCCAUGGCCCCAGGAUUGAGGGAUGAAGUGGAGUGAAACAUGGAUCAGCAUCUGGGACUCUUCCCAAGGGCUAUUUCCUCUUUUUGACUCCUGCCAUUCUGCAAAGUAAAGCAUCUGCUGGAUUAGCAGGUUCCCAGGGAUAGGAGUCUCACUGCAGCUGAAUGGUGCUGUUCCCAAGAUACUGGAGAUAUGCCCAGGGCAGUAGCACAGACCCGCAGACCCUGUGUCCGGAGCCUACUUUUAAUGCCUCUCCAAAGCUGUGGCUGCGCUGAGCCCUGUGUGCUGGGAGCAGCUUGUGCUGGGGCUUGGGGAUAGAGAGAGGAACAGGCGCC